GCAUAUCAAUAAGCGGAGGAAAAAGAAACUAACAAGGAUUCCCCUAGUAACGGCGAGUGAAGCGGGAUGAGCUCAAAUUUGAAAUCUGGCUGGUUUACUAGUCCGAGUUGUAAUUUAAAGAAGCGUUUUCGGUGGCAGCCUGGGUAUAAAUCCUUUGGAAUAGGGUAUCAUAGAGGGUGAGAAUCCCGUCUUUGACCUAGUGCAUGCUACUAUGUGAUACGUUUUCAAAGAGUCGAGUUGUUUGGGAAUGCAGCUCAAAAUGGGUGGUAAAUUUCAUCUAAAGCUAAAUAUUGGCGAGAGACCGAUAGCGAACAAGUACCGUGAGGGAAAGAUGAAAAGAACUUUGAAAAGAGAGUUAAACAGUGCGUGAAAUUGUUGAAAGGGAAACGUUUGACACCAGUCAUGUGGGUGGAAAAUCAGUCUUUUGCAUUGGGGAGUUGUAAAGGUUCGGACCGCAAGGCCGGCUUUUGCUUCAUCUUUGGUGUAAGGGAUGCACUUUUUCAUCUGCAGGUCAACAUCAGUUUCUUUUGCUGGACAAAACUCCGAGAGAAGGUAGCAGCUUAGGCUGUGUUAUAGCUCUGGAGCGAUACAGUGAAGGGGACUGAGGUUUUCGCAGCGUGUGCUCUCGGGCAAGGCUGGAUGGGUGCUAUGGGAUCGUUCGGGGUACAAUGCCUGGCAUUUUGCUUCGUGUCUUUUCUAUACUCGCUCAACUCAGCUCUUCCACGCUUAGGAUGUUGACUUAAUGGUUUUAAACGACCCGUCUUGAAACACGGACCAAGGAGUCUAACAUAUAUGCAAGUGUUUGGGUGGCAAACCCAUGCGCGUAAUGAAAGUGAACGUAGGUGCGAUCCGCAAGGUGCAGCAUCGACCGAUCUUGAUAUUUUUGGAUAGAUUUGAGUAAGAGCAUAUAUGCUGGGACCCGAAAGAUGGUGAACUAUGCCUGAAUAGGGUGAAGCCAGAGGAAACUCUGGUGGAGGCUCGUAGCGAUU
rnacentral:rRNA from 1 species